CUCUUGGUCAUUUAGAGGAAGUAAAAGUCGUAACAAGGUUUCUGUAGACAAGGAAUAGCUUAUCGGUAAGCAUGUUCACCUUUGAAGCCUUGAAUCUCCCAGUCUGCUUUUAAUGCAGGCAACAUCAGUCUGUUGCUGAGACCUUUCAUGUUGAAUAUCAGCAGCCGCUUUACUACCUUGUUUUGCGGUUCACAGAUCAAACACUGGUGGCCUAUUUACUCAUGGGUUAAAAUAUGACCGGCGUCACCUUGAAAUAGGUCACACGUUUUGCGUUCCGUAGGUGAACCUGCGGAAGGAUCAUUACAGAGUUAGGGUCUUUCAGGCCUAACCUCCACCCUGUGUGUACCUAUCUUCGUUGCUUUGGCAGGCCUGUCGAGGUAACUCACCGGUGGCUACAGGCUGCUGAGCGCCUGUCAAAGACCCAUCAAACCCUGUGAUUUGUGAUGUCCGAGUACCGAUACAAUCAUUGAAAACUUUCAACAACGGAUCUCUUGGUUCUGGCAUCGAUGAAGAACGCAGCGAAAUGCGAUAAGUAAUGUGAAUUGCAGAAUUCAGUGAAUCAUCGAAUCUUUGAACGCACAUUGCGCCCUUCGGUAUUCCGGAGGGCAUGCCUGUUCGAGCGUCAUUACACCACUCAAGCUUGGCUUGGUAUUGGGCUCUCAUUCUAGAUGGAUGUGCCCGGAAAGCAGUGGCGGCACAGCCCGGCUUCAGGUAGUAUUAGCAUACCUUUUGCCUUGAAAGUCCGGGCCUGAGUCUGCCGGACAACCCCCAUUUGUCUCA
rnacentral:rRNA from 1 species